GCCUUCGUGGUGUAGCGGUCAGCACGCUGGGCGCGUAUUCCAGAGGCUCGUGGUUCGAGUCCCGGCGAAGGUG
rfam:Stegodyphus mimosarum contig7522, whole genome shotgun sequence.